rnacentral:rRNA from 1 species
AGAGUUUGAUCCUGGCUCAGGAUGAACGCUAGCGGGAGGCCUAAUACAUGCAAGUCGAACGGUAACAGGGGUAGCAAUACCCGCUGACGAGUGGCGCACGGGUGCGUAACACGUACACAAUCUGCCUUAUACUGGAGCAUACCCCCAAGAAAUUGGGACUAACUCUCCAUAACAUAUUGAAAAGGCAUCUUUUUAAUAUUAAAACUCCGGUGGUAUAAGAUGAGUGUGCGCCCGAUUAGCUAGUUGGUGAGGUAACGGCUCACCAAGGCAACGAUCGGUAGCUGGUCUGAGAGGACGAUCAGCCACACGGGCACUGAGACACGGGCCCGACUCCUACGGGAGGCAGCAGUAGGGAAUAUUGGACAAUGGGCGCAAGCCUGAUCCAGCCAUCCCGCGUGAAGGAUUAAGGCCCUAUGGGUUGUAAACUUCUUUUCUCUGGGAAUAAAAAGUGGGGUUCACCCUGCCUUGAAGGUACCAGAGGAAUAAGCACCGGCUAACUCCGUGCCAGCAGCCGCGGUAAUACGGAGGGUGCAAGCGUUAUCCGGAUUCACUGGGUUUAAAGGGAGCGUAGGUGGCUUUGUAAGUCAGUGGUGAAAUAUUGCGGCUCAACCGCAAAACUGCCAUUGAUACUGCUUAGCUUGAAUCACGUCGAGGUGGAUGGAAUAUUACAUGUAGCGGUGAAAUGCUUAGAUAUGUAAUAGAACACCGAUUGCGAAGGCAGUUCACUAGGCGUGUAUUGACACUGAGGCUCGAAAGCGUGGGGAUCAAACAGGAUUAGAUACCCUAGUAGUCC